UCUUCUUCUUCCUUCUUCCCUCUCACGUUUCUUCAAUUCCUCCAUGGGAGUUUUCUUCAAGCUUCCAUAACUUUCUCUCUCUAGCUUCAAUUUUCAUGCUUUCGGUGCACCCUUCUAUAAACUCUUCUGCUAUUUCAUCCUCUCAUUUUAAAACCCUUGAUAAAUCUCAUUUCUGCACUUUCUCUCACUAGUUGGACGUUCUAGAGAGAGAAAGAGGAAAUUACACCAUUUAUUUGGAAGCUAUUGGAAGAGAAUUUGACUACAAAGGAGCCCUAGGGUAAGUGAUGAACUAAGUUCGAUUUUUAGCUGUAGAAAAUGGCUAGUAAUUGGGAUUUAUGAGCUAUUUUAUUGUUAAGUAUGUUCAUUACUUUUAGUGAUUAAGAUAGUGAACAUAGACAGCCAUUUAAUGUGGCAAUUGAAAGCUAGCUAAGAGAUAGCUUUUAGGGUUCAUAGUAUGUAAAUUGACCUAUUGAUUAUGCUAAUGUGAUCCUAGGUUCUAAGGAAGCCCCAUCAUCUCGUUUAGACAAUUAGUGGAAUUAGAGUCAUUUAAAAGCUCUACAAUCAAUUGGUGAGUGGACUGCCUUCAAAACUUGUUUUGGGAAAUAUAAUGUAUUUGCCACCCAUUUGAAUGAAUUAUCAAGUUUUUCAUAAAAACAAGUCCUUUGGAACAAGCUUUUGCAAAAUGGUUUUAUAUUGUGAUAUGUGAUUGCUAUGGAUUUAUGCACUAUUGUAGUAUGAUGAUAUAUAAAUGUGUGUGUUGUGCAUGAUGAAUGAUAUUGUGUAUAAUGACUGUAACCGUGUGUGUGCACGAUGUGGGGGGAAGCACAUGCCGAUGAUAGUGGUGGCGUGAGAGAUGGAUGAUGAUAGUGCCCGUGUGCACGAUGUGGGGGGAUGUACACG
rnacentral:lncRNA from 1 species